CUUUCUCUGCCAGGAAAGAAAGAGAGAGAUGACUGAGAUUUCAGCAAGUAGAUCUCUCCGUCUCCUACUUUUCUUCGCUUCCGUUCCACUACUCUUUAUUUCAGGUUUCUGUGAUGACUCUAAAGAUUUAAAAAACAACUCAAAGACGAAAUCUGAUGUGGUUAGUAAUACCAGGGCCAAGGUAGUCCUCAUAUUGCUUGCGCUUGUUGCUGUCGGGUUGUUUUCCUUUUUCCUCUUCAAGUUGUGGCAAAAGAAGAAACGAGAUGAACAAUAUGCUCGUCUUCUGAAGCUGUUUGAAGAAGAUGAUGAGCUUGAGCUUGAGCUUGGCCUGCGUGACUAGCUGCACAGUGAGAACUGAGCUCAUCCCGUUUGAGGCUGCAAUGUCACCGAUGGGUUGUGUUGUUUAGAGAACUCAUUUUUUGUGAUGGUCAAGAUCAGGGUUUUAGGCCUAUCCUGUGGCGAGGUCAGAUCAAUUUUGAACCUUAAGCUGUACUAUUUGUAAUGAUAAGCUCAAACGAAAUUUUAUGAUGAAUUUUAGAUUUGG